rnacentral:rRNA from 1 species
UACGGGGGGAGCAAGCGUUGUUCGGAUUUACUGGGCGUAAAGGGCGCGUAGGCGGCCAGCACAAGUCAGUUGUGAAAUCUCCGAGCUUAACUCGGAAAGGUCAACUGAUACUGUGCGGCUAGAGUGCAGAAGGGGCAACUGGAAUUCUUGGUGUAGCGGUGAAAUGCGUAGAUAUCAAGAGGAACACCUGCGGCGAAGGCGGGUUGCUGGGCUGACACUGACGCUGAGGCGCGAAAGCCAGGGGAGCAAACGGG